UGACCUGAAGGGCAGAAAAACACUCUCUCAUCAGGUAUGAACCUGCAGCCCUUCGGUGAAGGCAGGCUGAGGCAAUUUUGAAAGGAAUGAGCGCAGCUGUGUUCCAUGAAUAAGGGCGUUGCAACGGCAGGCUGCAGAGGAGGAAUGCUGGGUCCUGCUCUCCUAAGUGGGAUGGAAUCCCUGAACCUUCAGCACAAGAGGCUUGUACUUACCUGAGCAGCUGCAAGCUUGCCUGAUGAACACUCCUCGUUCCCGGCCUCAUGCUUUUGGAGUCAGAAGGACCUGGGUAGUAGGAGGAAUUGAUUAGAUACUACCUUCCCCUCCCAUGUACCUGCUGGCAGAGGCCUGGCCACUUGUGGACAAUCUCCCAUGGCUCUCUACCUACUCAUCUCUGAAGACCCUUUAAAUUAGAAGACCCAAGGAGAGACCUGGCUAUGAUUGGAACAUGCAGCAGAUGGUACGAGUUUUGGAGCUGGCUGGGGAUAUGAAUUGUGACCUGUGCCACAAGGAAUAUCCACGCGACAGCUUCGUGUGUUGCUCACCCUUGAGUGUUCAGGACAGAAACUAGUUCUCAGCUACCACGUGUUGGAAUACAGAUGUCGCUGACAUAGUAGCUCCCUGUGUGGAGCCAACAAGAGUUGGCCAGUGGAGAUGUGCCAUCGAGGAUUACUGAAGUGCUCUGAAGUGCCUCAGGCUAUUUUCAUCACCAGCCUGUGACCCAUCUGUCCUGUCUCCCAGGCACAUGAACACACCUGACAAGCCCCUGUCCCUUCAUGUACCUACCUGAGUACUUCCACCAGAGCAGGCAGGCCCAGGGGCAGGUGUUUGGCACUGGGUGCCGCUGUGGAAUUUGCUCUAUAGAGAUGACUCAGCAUCCAAGCAUGUGCGGCCCAGUGCCAAAGGCCCAUGGCAGGGAUGUGGGCUGCCUGGGCAGGUUCCACUGGUCCAGGCAUUACUGAGAAUGUUCUACCAGGUUCUCUGAAUGUGUCUUGGCACUGGAUCUGGUCUCCAAGUGAAGAGCCCCCAAAUCCAUUCCAAGGCUUCAUCUGAGCAACUUCUCUCCAUAGCCCCAGGUUAUUCCCGCUCCCCACUGCUUCUGUGUCCCCCCUCCACUAUCCAUCACUGCCUGGCUUGGGACAUCCAAGGUCUCAAAGUCAGAGAAGCAAUUCCCAAAACACAGGAAACAUGAUUUGUCACCGCUUCUGAGUACCAGAGUGCUUCUUAGAGGUCUUGCUGGACCGGGCUAAGCAUCACUGACUUCCCUCCCUGCCUAGCCAGAGGCCCAUGGCUUCGUGCUGAGUCAAGACUUGUGGCAUUAUGACUAAGUUAGCUACUUUUCUGUUGUGAUAAAAUACCAUGACCAAAGCAACUUAGAAGAAAGCAUUUAAUUGGGAUUAUGGUUCCAGACAAACAGAUACACCCAGAGAGUUGACUUUUCGGUGAUUCUAGAGCAUAUCAAGUUGACUCAACAGAUGAGUGUUUUAUAGGGAAAGGGGUUGAACUAAGCCUGAAUUCCAUAUCAGGGUGUACUUCACAGCAAAGGCCAUGAACAAAACCUGGAUCCCACAUCACAACAGAGAGGGAUGGCAGGAGCCUGGAUCCUACAUCAUUGCAGAAAGGGAUGCCAGGAGCCUGGACCCCAGUAAUCAGUGUGCUGUUCUCUGCAGCUUCAAUCUUUCUUGGAGAGGGAGAAGAAGCACCUGGAUACAGACCACUACCCCCUGCACCUAUAAUACACUCUCAGGUCACCCUAUGACCCUAUGGGUCCCUUUAACAUCACUAUGGACUCAUCCUCCGAGGUCACUGACAACACUGCAACUCCGGUGCAGGAUGUUGAGGCAAAGAGGGACCGGGGUAGGGGCUGCCUUUUGAGGAUGGAACUGUUUACUUCCCACAGAAAACAGGACCCUUGGGACCCUUUUCUACACUCUAUAAUAUGAAGGGCCCUCAUGCAUUUUCAGUAUUUCUAUCUCUGUCUCCCAGUAUAACUUAACUUACUAUCUCAAAAUACAAUGGCAUGCAAAGGCGUUCUUUUAACCAACAGUAAUGAAAUAGCAUGUGUCUGUAUUUAUGGGCUUAUCCUCACUGCUACCAUCAACAUCAUCUUUGGAUAUAAAAACAUUAAGCUGGGCUGUGGUGCCACAUGCCUGUCAUCCUAGCUCUUUGGAGGCAGAGACAGGCAGAUCUCUGUUUAAGGCCAUCCUGGUAUAGAGAAUGUUCCGGAACAGUCAAGGCUACACAGAGAAACCC
rnacentral:sRNA from 1 species